rnacentral:lncRNA from 1 species
UCUUAUAAGCCUUUUUUUCCCAAAAAAAAAAGGUCACCACCUGGAACCAUUCUUGUCCUCUCAUUGGCUUCACAAACAUCUUCUAUCCAACAACCGACAACUGGCAUCUCAAGCCUCUAACAAGAAACGGGUUUGUGAAAAAUAUUUUAAAGAGAGAAUGUAUUAUUGAAAAAAAUUUUUAGAAAAAAUAAUUUUGUGUAAAUGACUGUCAAACAAGGGCUAAAAAUUAAGUGGUUGAAGCUACAAACAUUAAUGGAUUGCUCAGGUUACAUGUCGAUCGUUAAAGGUUGAAAUUCAAAAAAUGAAGCAGCACAGCAAGCAAUCAUUCGUAAAAUACUCCAUUCAUAUGGAAAUAUAUAUUUGUAUUUCUCAUUGUUGACAUUGGAUGACGCAUUCUGGUACAAACAAUUGUUAAGACAUUAAGUCCCCGUUUGACAACCUUUAAAAAUUUAGCCCCCAUUUGGCCCCAUUCUUUCCAACUUUGAAUUGUUGGAAUAGUGUUUUUUUGAAAAUUGUAUGGUUGAAAAAGAAUGAAAAGUUUUCGAUUUGUGUAUAAUAUUAUUUUAUACAAGAUUGUGUGGUUAAAAAUAAGAGAGAGAAAACGAAUGAGAAAGAUAAUGGGAGCCAAACGGGGACUUAAAUUGUUUGUUACAGUAUAUUUUUCCACCAUAUAUUCACACUAUAAAAUAUUAUACACAACCCAAUAAAAUUAUCUUAUUUUUUUACCACACAUUUUCCAAAAACGCUAUUUAAAACUCUUUAAUUUUUGAAAUAAUGAAUGUCAAACAGAGCCUAAAUUAUAGAUUCUAUAUUCAAACAAGAUAAUAUAAAAGAACAACAUAGACCACAUAAGGUGAAGAAAUCGCCCGUACCCAUCCAACAUAACAGUGGUUGAUGUCUCUGUUUUAGUGCGUCAACCAGAAUUUAAGGAUGGUAAACCAGCAAUAAUCUUCACUCCCCUGGAAUUGCAGCGAUCUGAGGCACCCCUACAGUUUGCCCUCAUUGCCAAAUUCUCUAAGACAAGGCCUAGAAUAGAUGUCCUUCGUCACUUUAUCAAUAUGAAGUGGGGAUUGUUUGCUGUCCCUAUUGUCAGUUUACCGGAUCGAUGUCAUGUAUUGAUUAAACUCCAAAACGUUGAGGAUUUUAACAAGGGUUGGACUCUGGACUCCCGUGAGAUUGAUGGCUCCUUAUUUCGAUUGUUUAAAUGGUCUCGUGAUUUUAAACCGACUGAGGAAUCCCCUAUUGCUCCAGUUUGGAUUCGUCUCCCUUUACUUUUCCUAAAUUUCUGCAUUCCUUCGUAUUUACAAGCAUUUGCGUAGGAUAAUGAUGCGUAGGAUAUUUGAUCGAUUAUCCUACGGGUCUGAGAACCCAAAGGGAAAAGGUCAAGGGUAGACAAAGAGAAGUGCCUAAACAGGUGGUCAAGCCUCUGCGUCGUCAUCUCAGUUCAGACCUGCCAACAAUUACAUUCACACGGCCUAGUUUGGCAAGAGUUUGCUUUGAAAUAGACUUGUCACAGCCACGUGAAGACCUGAUCUAGAUUGGUACUAGAAAGGAUAAUUCAUCGGGUUUUUGGCAAGAAGUACAUUACGAAAGAUCCCCCAAGUAUUGCAGUCACUGUCGUCUUCAUGGACAUGAUAUUUCAAGCUGCAAUAGAAGGCAAGGACUUAACAGUGCAGUUAGAAAGCCAACACAAAAACAUAUGCCAUUACAGAUUGAUAAGAAAGGUGAAAACAAGGUUGAACAGUCAUCGAAAAAUGAGUAGGACAACUCAGUGGAAAUUCAUCCCCUGAGUAAAGGGGACGAUGCUACAGAGGUUGUUAAGCCGUUACCAAGUAAGGAAGAUGUCUUGCACAAUGAGAAACUAGAAGGGAAACACAAAC